GAUGAAGAACGUAGCGAAAUGCGAUAAGUAAUGUGAAUUGCAGAAUUCAGUGAAUCAUCGAAUCUUUGAACACACAUUGCGCCCCCUGGUAUUCCGGGGGGCAUGCCUGUUCGAGCGUCAUUACAACCCUCAAGCUCUGCUUGGUAUUGGGCCCCGCCAGUUCUGGCGGGCCCUAAAGUCAGUGGCGGUGCCUUCCGGCUCCGAGCGUAGUAAUUCUUCUCGCUCUGGAGACCCGGUUGUGUGCUUGCCAACAACCCCCAAUUUUUUAAGGUUGACCUCGGAUCAGGUAGGGAUACCCGCUGAACUUAAGCAUAUCAAUAAGCGGAGGA
rnacentral:misc_RNA from 1 species